rnacentral:lncRNA from 1 species
AUCACCUCUUUGCCGUGUUUUCCACAAAAUUCUGUAACAACAAGAAAGUGCAGUGAACACCUUCCGCGCUGCUGUGAGCAUGACUUCUAGCCUCCAGAUCUCACCCUCCCUCGUGUUGUCUGGAUAUCAGGUUUUUCAACCCCCAGUCCUUCCUCACAGGAGCAGGUAAGUUUUACCUGAAGACAUACUCCAGGGGAAAGAUGAGCAGAGCUCAAUCCAGCAGGAUCUACAGCUCAACAGAUAAAAGCUUUUCUGCUCUAAGUGAUCAGCUCUGAGAAGCACUACUGAAGUAGUGCUAAUAAAAGGCAUCAGUGCAAUGCUUUCA